rnacentral:rRNA from 1 species
UCGACGAUGAAGCCCUUCGGGGUGGAUUAGUGGCGAACGGGUGAGUAACACGUGGGCAAUCUGCCCUGCACUCUGGGACAAGCCCUGGAAACGGGGUCUAAUACCGGAUACUGAUCGCCUUGGGCAUCCUUGGUGAUCGAAAGCUCCGGCGGUGCAGGAUGAGCCCGCGGCCUAUCAGCUUGUUGGUGAGGUAAUGGCUCACCAAGGCGACGACGGGUAGCCGGCCUGAGAGGGCGACCGGCCACACUGGGACUGAGACACGGCCCAGACUCCUACGGGAGGCAGCAGUGGGGAAUAUUGCACAAUGGGCGAAAGCCUGAUGCAGCGACGCCGCGUGAGGGAUGACGGCCUUCGGGUUGUAAACCUCUUUCAGCAGGGAAGAAGCGAAAGUGACGGUACCUGCAGAAGAAGCGCCGGCUAACUACGUGCCAGCAGCCGCGGUAAUACGUAGGGCGCGAGCGUUGUCCGGAAUUAUUGGGCGUAAAGAGCUCGUAGGCGGCUUGUCGCGUCGGUUGUGAAAGCCCGGGGCUUAACCCCGGGUCUGCAGUCGAUACGGGCAGGCUAGAGUUCGGUAGGGGAGAUCGGAAUUCCUGGUGUAGCGGUGAAAUGCGCAGAUAUCAGGA